rnacentral:snRNA from 1 species
AUGCUUGCUUCAGCAACACGUGUGCUAAAACUGGAGCGAUACAGAGCAGAUUAGCAUGUCUUCUGUGCAAGGGUGUCACACAAAUUCAUGAAGACUUCCAUAUUUUU